ACGGCUCAGUAACACGUAGCUAACUUGCCCUAUGGUUCGGAAUACCUUCGGGAAACUGAGGUUAAGACCGGAUAAGAGAAAAAUACUGGAAUGUUUUUUCUUUGAAAGGUAACGCCAUAGGAUAGGGCUGCGGCGGAUUAGGUGUCGGCGGGGUAAUGGCCCACCAAGCCGAUGAUCCGUAGAGGCUUUAGCGAAGGAGCCUCGAGAGGGAAUCUGAGACACUAUUCCCAGCCUUACGGGGUGCAGCAGUUAAGAAUCUUCUACAAUGCGCGAAAGCGUGAUAGAGUGAGCCAGAGUGAUUCUCCGCAUGGAGAAUCUUUUGUUAAAUGUAAAUAGUUUAGCGAAUAAGGACCGGGAAAGAUUGGUGCCAGCCGCCGCGGUAAUACCAACGGUUCAAGUCGCAGCCACAUUUAUUGGGUCUAAAACAUCCGUAGCUUGCUUUGUAAGUCUCUUGUGAAAUCCCUCAUCUCAAAUGGGGGGCGUGCAGGAGAUACUGCAUUGCUAGAGACCGGGAGACGUAAGGAGUACAUAAAGGGUAUCGGUAAAAUGAGUUGAUCCUUUGUGGACCAACGAUAGCGAAGGCACCUUACGAGAACGGAUCUGACAGUCAGGGAUGAAGGCCAGGGUCGCGAAAGGGAUUAGAUACCCCUGUAGUCCUGGCAGUAAACACUGCGCACUAAACAUUGGUACCUCUUCGAGAGGCAUCAGUGCUGCAGGGAAGCCGUAGAGUGCGCUACCUGGGAAGUAUAGUUGCAAGGCCGAAACUUAAAGGAAUUGGCGGGGGAGCAC
rnacentral:rRNA from 1 species